AUUGAACGCUGGCGGCAGGCCUAACACAUGCAAGUCGAACGAGUGGCGGACGGGUGAGUAACACGUGGGACCCUACCCAUCAGUGGGGGAUAACACUUGGACACAGGUGCUAAUACCGCAUAUUGAUGGAUGGGCCCGUGGUGCAUUAGCUAGUUGGUGAGGUAACGGAUCGCCAAGGCCACGAUGCAUCGCCGACCGGGGAGGGUGAUCGGCCACACUGGGACUGAGACACGGCCCAGAGGCCUACGGGAGGCAGCAGUGGGGAAGAGUGCACAAUGGGCUAAAGCCUGAUGCAGCCAUGCCGCGUGUAUGAAGAAGGCCUGCGGGUUGUAAAGUACUUUCAGCGGGGAGGCGGUAGCCGCAGAAGAAGCACCGGCUAACUCCGUGCCAGCAGCCGCGGUAAUUC
rnacentral:rRNA from 1 species